rnacentral:rRNA from 1 species
AGAGUUUGAUCCUGGCUCAGAAUGAACGUUGGCGGCGUGGAUUAGGCAUGCAAGUCGAACGGGCCGCAAGGCCAGUGGCGCAAGGGUGAGUAAGGCGACGGUAACCAACCCCGGGAUUGGGUAUAGCCGCGGGAAACCGCGGGUAAUCCCCAGCGACGCGACGACAUCGGCAUCGGUGUCUCGCCAAAGCCCCGGCGUCCCGGGACGGGCUGUCGUGGUAUUAGCUUGUUGGCGGGGUAACGGCCCACCAAGGCUGCGAUGCCUACCGGGCGUGCGAGCGUGGCCCGGCACACUGGGACUGAGACACUGCCCAGACUCCUACGGGAGGCUGCAGUCGAGAAUCUUCGGCAAUGGGCGCAAGCCUGACCGAGCGACGCCGCGUGGAGGACGAAGGCCUUCGGGUUGUAAACUCCUGUCGAGGGGGAAAAAGGCCCCGCAAGGGGCUUGAUUGAUCCCUGGAGGAAGCACGGGCUAAGUUCGUGCCAGCAGCCGCGGUAAGACGAACCGUGCGAACGUUAUUCGGAAUCAUUGGGCUUAAAGCGCGUGUAGGCGGGUCCGUGCGUCCGUCGCUGAAAUCCCCCGGCUCAACCGGGGAACGGGCGCGGAUACGACGGGCCUGGAGGGGCAUAGGGGGACCUGGAACUUCCGGGUGGAGCGGUGAAAUGCGUUGAGAUCGGAAGGAACGCCCGUGGCGAAAGCGAGGUCCUGGAUGCCUACUGACGCUGAGACGCGAAAGCCAGGGGAGCGAACGGGAUAGAUACCCCGGUAGUCCUGGCCGUAACGAUGGG